rnacentral:rRNA from 1 species
GCGAAUUCGCCCUUCGGGGUGCCCAGGCGCGAAAACUUUACAACUGCGGGAAACCGUGAUAAGGGGACACCGAGUGCCAGCAUCAUAUGCUGGCUGUCCAGGUGUGUAAAAUACACCUGUCAGCAAGGGCCGGGCAAGACCGGUGCCAGCCGCCGCGGUGACACCGGCGGCCCGAGUGGUGAUCGUGAUUAUUGGGUCUAAAGGGUCCGUAGCCGGUUUGGUCAGUCCUCCGGGAAAUCUGACGGCUCAACCGUUAGGCUUUCGGGGGAUACUGCCAGGCUUGGAACCGGGAGAGGUAAGAGGUACUACAGGGGUAGGAGUGAAAUCUUGUAAUCCCUGUGAGACCACCUGUGGCGAAGGCGUCUUACCAGAACGGGUUCGACGGUGAGGGACGAAAGCUGGGGGCACGAACCGGAUUAGAUACCCGGGUAGUCCCAGCCGUAAACGAUGCUCGCUAGGUGUCAGGCAUGGCGCGACCGUGUCUGGUGCCGCAGGGAAGCCGUGAAGCGAGCCACCUGGGAAGUACGGCCGCAAGGCUGAAACUUAAAGGAAUUGGCGGGGGAGCAC